rnacentral:rRNA from 1 species
UCUACGGGUGGCAGCAGUGGGGAAUAUUGCACAAUGGGCGAAAGCCUGAUGCAGCAACGCCGCGUGAGCGAUGAAGGCCUUCGGGUCGUAAAGCUCUGUCCUCAAGGAAGAUAAUGACGUUACUUGAGGAGGAAGCCCCGGCUAACUACGUGACAGCAGCCGCGGUAAUACGUAGGGGGCUGGCGUUCUCCGGAACUACUGGGCGUAAAGGGUGCGAAGGUGGUUUCUUAAGUCAGAGGGGAAAGGCUACGGCUAAACCGUAGUAAGCCUUUGAAACUGGGGCACUUGAGUGCAGGAGAGGGGGGUGGAAUUCCUAGUGUAGCGGUGAAAUGCGUAGAGAUUAGGAGGAACACCAGUUGCGAAGGCGGCUCCCUGGACUGUAACUGACACUGAGGCACGAAAGCGUGGGGAGCAAACAGGAUUAGAUACCCCAGUAGUC